GAAUAUUGGACAAUGGGCGCAAGCCUGAUCCAGCCAUGCCGCGUGCAGGAAGACGGUCCUAUGGAUUGUAAACUGCUUUUAUUUGGGAAUAAACCUCCUUACGUGUAGGGAGCUGAAUGUACCAAAUGAAUAAGCACCGGCUAACUCCGUGCCAGCAGCCGCGGUAAUACGGAGGGUGCAAGCGUUAUCCGGAAUCAUUGGGUUUAAAGGGUCCGCAGGCGGAUAUAUAAGUCAGUGGUGAAAGCCUACAGCUUAACUGUAGAACUGCCAUUGAAACUGUAUGUCUUGAAUUCGAUCGAAGUGGGCGGAAUGUGUCAUGUAGCGGUGAAAUGCAUAGAUAUGACACAGAACACCGAUAGCGAAGGCAGCUCACUAGGUCUGAAUUGACGCUCAGGGACGAAAGCGUGGGGAGCGAACAGG
rnacentral:rRNA from 1 species